CUAGGCAAAAUGGUGCCGUAACUUCGGGAGAAGGCACGCUGAUAUGUAGGUGAAGUCCCUCGCGGAUGGAGCUGAAAUCAGUCGAAGAUACCAGCUGGCUGCAACUGUUUAUUAAAAACACAGCACUGUGCAAACACGAAAGUGGACGUAUACGGUGUGACGCCUGCCCGGUGCCGGAAGGUUAAUUGAUGGGGUUAGCGCAAGCGAAGCUCUUGAUCGAAGCCCCGGUAAACGGCGGCCGUAACUAUAACGGUCCUAAGGUAGCGAAAUUCCUUGUCGGGUAAGUUCCGACCUGCACGAAUGGCGUAAUGAUGGCCAGGCUGUCUCCACCCGAGACUCAGUGAAAUUGAACUCGCUGUGAAGAUGCAGUGUACCCGCGGCAAGACGGAAAGACCCCGUGAACCUUUACUAUAGCUUGACACUGAACAUUGAGCCUUGAUGUGUAGGAUAGGUGGGAGGCUUUGAAGUGUGGACGCCAGUCUGCAUGGAGCCGACCUUGAAAUACCACCCUUUAAUGUUUGAUGUUCUAACGUGGACCCGUAAUCCGGGUUGCGGACAGUGUCUGGUGGGUAGUUUGACUGGGGCGGUCUCCUCCUAAAGAGUAACGGAGGAGCACGAAGGUUGGCUAAUCCUGGUCGGACAUCAGGAGGUUAGUGCAAUGGCAUAAGCCAGCUUGACUGCGAGCGUGACGGCGCGAGCAGGUGCGAAAGCAGGUCAUAGUGAUCCGGUGGUUCUGAAUGGAAGGGCCAUCGCUCAACGGAUAAAAGGUACUCCGGGGAUAACAGGCUGAUACCGCCCAAGAGUUCAUAUCGACGGCGGUGUUUGGCACCUCGAUGUCGGCUCAUCACAUCCUGGGGCUGAAGUAGGUCCCAAGGGUAUGGCUGUUCGCCAUUUAAAGUGGUACGCGAGCUGGGUUUAGAACGUCGUGAGACAGUUCGGUCCCUAUCUGCCGUGGGCGCUGGAGAACUGAGGGGGGCUGCUCCUAGUACGAGAGGACCGGAGUGGACGCAUCACUGGUGUUCGGGUUGUCAUGCCAAUGGCACUGCCCGGUAGCUAAAUGCGGAAGAGAUAAGUGCUGAAAGCAUCUAAGCACGAAACUUGCCCCGAGAUGAGUUCUCCCUGACUCCUUGAGAGUCCUGAAGGAACGUUGAAGACGACGACGUUGAUAGGCCGGGUGUGUAAGCGCAGCGAUGCGUUGAGCUAACCGGUACUAAUGAACCGUGAGGCUUAACCUU
rnacentral:rRNA from 1 species